rnacentral:rRNA from 1 species
UACGUAGGGUGCGAGCGUUGUUCGGAUUUACUGGGCGUAAAGGGCGCGUAGGCGGCGUGACAAGUCACUUGUGAAAUCUCUGGCUUAACCCAGAACGGCCAAGUGAAACUGUUGUGCUAGAGUGCAGAAGGGGCAAUCGGAAUUCUCGGUGUAGCGGUGAAAUGCGUAGAUAUCGAGAGGAACACCAGAGGUGAAGACGGGUUGCUGGGCUGACACUGACGCUGAGGCGCGGAAAGCCCAGGGGAGCAAACGGG